GGCACAGAGGCUUAGUGGUUAGCACGCUGGCCUUACACCUCCAGGGUUGGGGGUUCGAUUUCCGCCUCUGCCC